GACUCUGUGGCGCAAUGGACAGCGCGUUGGACUUCUAAUUCAAAGGUUGUGGGUUCGAGUCCCACCAGAGUUG